CGGGCGGGGCGGCGGCGAAGGCGGCGGCGGCGGAGGUGGAAUGGGCGCUUUUCUCUCCCAUCUGGCUCCAUUUAUUUAUUUAUUUAGACUAGAAAAGGCGGGCAGGCUUGGAGGGAGUCGGCCCAGCGAUCAGAGUGCGCAUUGAUCAGUGUCGAGAGGGAAAAAAAAGCUACAUAAAUAUAUAUUAUGUGGAUACAUCUAUAGACAAGAGCUCCCUCGCCCGCGCGCGCUCUCCCGGUUUCUCUCUGUGUCUGCUUUUUACCUUCUCGCUUCCCCAACCUGCAAGAGCACCCCCAAAUCUCCCUCUCACCGGACAUCUACCGCCAACCGAGCCACCUGGGAAGACAGGGCUGGGGAGCAGUUGCGUUGUACUAGAGGGACUGAGGAUAGAGAUUUGGGGUCCGUUCUCUGUCCCAGUGCUCUUCCGAAGGCGGGAGGUGGAUGUUUCGGUCCCGGACCGCUUCCCCAGUCCUGGAGAGCGGCGGCCGGUCGGCCAGCGGCUGGAGAGAGGAAGGUGGAAGCCUGCGUCCGGCCCGCCGAGGAGUGAGAAAAGCGCUGGGCUCCGAGUUCGGUGAGCCAGCGCCGGGACACUGGCUUGAUUUUUCUCCCCUCAUUUCCUUUACUGGUUAGAAUUGGGGAUUUUUUUUUCUUCAAUUCACCAUCAAAGAAAUAAAGCCCCCGAAUCGCUCUCCGGGCUGUAGCGGACCCAGACUUUGCACUGCGUGCGCUGCGCCCGCGGGUUUCCUUUGCUGCACCCCAGAUCCAGAGGUGCGAGGUGGGAGUUGCGUCUGCUGGCCGAAGCCAAAGGUGCAGCCGCCGGGCGAGUGCCCCGCAGGACUCCCUUGCGGGCCGCCUGGGCUGGGACCUCCGCUGCGCUCGAGAGGGAGUGGCACGCGUGGGAGCCGAUUGGAGCAGCCCCGCCUCUGGGGGCGACUACUGGUGGUGAACUUGUCUGGGGCAACAGAUUUUCAUUUUAAUGGUAUUUACCUGCAUCCCAUCCUCUCCCGCAUUUGCCUUUCCAGGACAGCUUUUCCCAGCUUCAGAAGUCGGGCCAGUUAAAAUUAUUCGCUGCCUGCCCGCAAGGCUGGAGCUGGGACGGCGGGGCUAGCUGCUGGUCUAACCCCGGAAGGUCCCGGCUUAGGCAUCGGGUGCUCAGGGUUUCUCUACUCUUACCCUCGAAUUACAUCACGUUACUACACGAUAUUUUUAAACAUUUAUUUAAAGAAACGAGACCCCAGCAGCCUGUAUAUCCAGGCCAAGCCGGCGUGGUACAACCACAACGCGGUACUCUCCAGCGCCAGAGGAGGCCCGAGGCUCUGAGGUUCCCAGCCCUGGGGUUCAAGGUUCAGCUCAGACCCCCAGCUUCCCUCGAAGGAUGAGAGCCCAAAUCAAAUCGCAAAUUUAAAUCUUGCAAUCACUGCUGGGAAGUGAGCUGUAUCAUCUUGAGAAAUCAGACCACAGAGACGGGCCUGCAGCUGGCAGGCUGGGUCAUCUUUAAUCGUUUAACCCUUCAUAUCAAAGGAUGGCUUGUAGCAUCGGAUUCCUUCUCCAGAAUUUGCCACGGCAGAUUUUCUCAAGGAAAAGCUAAACAGAGGCUCUGGGGAGUCCCAAGACGUGCUGAAGUGAUGCAGUCCAAACCAAAUGCCACGUCUUCUGCAUGUCCAACCAGCAUCUGCUGCCUUUGAAGUGUUGCCCCAGUGUCAUGCCACCCCUUCUUGGAGCCAACUGAGUAUCGGCUGAAACCUCCAGAAACUCUAUAGGGGAAAUUUUGGUGUGAAGAUUGUGGCAAAUAUAGCCAAUGCUGACAUUAUCACUGCUCUUGCUACUAACACUGCACUGAUAUCAUCACCCUGCAAGUCAGAAGCAUCGUGAAGCUGUCCACUAUGUGCCUCUGUCACAAAGCCCUGCCUGCCUUGGAUCCAGUGGAAUAUGGAUUGAAACAUCUGCAAAUCUGCAAACUCAGACACUUUCUCUUUUUCCAUGCUGGAUUUAAAGAAGCCGUUGGUUUUAAAACAACCUGUGAAGAGUUGCUACGUGACAAGGAACUGCAGCCUUUAGAAAGAUCUUGAGGGAUCUACAGUGUCCUGUAGACAAUAGCCAACAAGGAACUGGGGACUUGAGUCUUAGCGCUAUAGGAAAAUUGAUUUUGCCUUCAACACAAGUGAGCUUCAGAGCAGAUCCAUUAUUAGGUAUAUCUCUGUAUGAAAACCAAUCCCUUGUCAACACCUUGAUUAUAGCUUUGCACAGUAUUCAGCUAAGACAAUAGGACUUGUGAUCUGUACAAGUUUGAGAUGACAAAUUCUUCUUGUUUUAAACUGCUAAGACUGGGGAAAAUUUGUUAUGUACAAUGAUAAUGAAUAAAAUACUUAGAGGUCAUGUACUCUUUUUUUGUGUAUAGUCUUGGGGGCUGUCUGGCUUCUUUUGGUCAAUACAACAUCGGUAAUUUCAAGUAUAUUGCUAUGAGAGGCAGUUAACUUUUAAAACUCAUUACUCUGCAGUAUUUUAUUAGGUAGCUAUGCUACAAUUUCUUUAUCCAGUCUAUUGUUAAUAGACACUUUUUUUCCUCAAUUUUGUCAUGCUAUGUGCAACCAUAAGGUUCAAAAUAUACAAUAGUCACUGUGAAAUGGGAGGAAACUGUUCAAUAAAAAGAAGAAACUAAGAUAGGGGAAAAGAGAAAGGAUAGAAGGGAAAAGAAAAAAAUGCAAGUUAGUUAUACCAUUAGUGUCACUUAGUUCACUGAAUAGGAAAGGUUGUGCUAAUAUUGAUUGAAGAAAUUUUUAUGCCCAUAUUUUGUACUUGAGUGACUAAAGAUAAUGAUGUGUAAUUUAUCAACAAUUGUUACUUUUUUAUUAUUUUGUUGUGAAAAUUUGUUUUACCUUUUCUUCUUAAUAUUAACAAAUAAAGAAAAAAAUCUGGGAUAAUCAUUUUUUACAUGUUAUGGUCGACACACUGUGUCAACUUGAGAAGUUUAGAAGUUUAAGAGACUCAGCAGGGAUCCAAGAUCCUUACUUUGUAAAUAUCCUCAUCCUGUGCAAGAGAAGCCAAGGAGAUUUUGUGAGUGCUCCCUUCGCUCUGGAGCGGGGAUUGCCUGUGUACAAUAUAAGGGAGGAAAAGAGGCUUGCUUUUUCCCUAUUGUACUCUUGUUUUGCUAUCUUCUGACACCUCUAGUGUUACCCCUGUGCCAUGCUACCCCACUUUGGAGCCAGCUGACUAUAAACUGAAACUGUCACAAACUGUGAGCUAAAUAAAUCUUUCCUUGCUUAA